rnacentral:hammerhead_ribozyme from 1 species
AUCCAACUGACUAGUCCCAAAUAGGACGAAACGUGCUUCCUAGAU